rnacentral:misc_RNA from 1 species
UGGUGAUUUUGAAAAAUAUGUUGUAAAUGUGGCGCUGUUGUACUUUUCGUCGCGGUCUGACAACGUCGCCCCGACCUCCUGCGUGAGGGACGGGCAGUUCGGUCCAGGCGUAGCUCGAGUUCGGGCGUUUUUCGUGUUUGCUCUGAAAUACAAACCUAGUUAAAGUCGAACACGGCCGAUUGUCGAUUUAAUUUAACGAAAACGUUCGUUCCCUUUGAUCGAGUCAGGUGAUUUCGUAACACAUAUCAUGUAGAAAUAAUUUUACUGCUGCUUUUGGGAUUGUAUUUAAGUCAACAAUGGUUUUGACUGUAAAAGCGAGCACAUAUUCGUAAUUUGGUUUCCAUGACGGCUUCAAAACUCCCUAAAGAAAAAUAUUAUUUUUUAUGCAGGUUUCUCCAUUUGCUUGACGUGAAGAUCUCUUCAAAACUACUUUGAUUGAGUAUUUGACAUGGCCAUAGCCAAAUUUUUCCAACAUCUCAGUUUGAAAUGAAGAGGGAAUUUUUUUUGGAAGUGCAAACGCAAAUGGAAAUUGGUGAACUCCACUGACAAGUUCAAAUGUUUCUCUGCCUGCAAGUAAAACAAUUAAUGUAUAUAAGAUAAUAAAAAUAUUGAACAUUG